GUCCACGCCGUAAACGAUGGGUACUAGGUGUGGCGGGUGUCGACUCCCGCUGUGCCGAAGCUAACGCAUUAAGUACCCCGCCUGGGGAGUACGGCCGCAAGGCUAAAACUCAAAGGAAUUGACGGGGACCCGCACAAGCAGCGGAGCAUGUGGUUUAAUUCGACGCAACGCGAAGAACCUUACCAGGGCUUGACAUGCAUUGGAAAACCGUGGAAACACGGUCCCCCUUCGGGGCUAAUGCACAGGUGGUGCAUGGCUGUCGU
rnacentral:rRNA from 1 species